UACGUAGGGGGCAAGCGUUGUCCGGAUUUAUCGUGGCGUAAAGAGCGUGUAGGCGGCCAACAGGUCCGUUGUGAAAACUGGAGGCUCAACCUCCAGACGUCGACGAAACCGUGGUGCUAGAGUCCGGAAGAGGAGAGUGGAAUUCCUGGUGUAGCGGUGAAAUGCGCAGAUAUCAGGAAGAACACCAUGGCGAAGGCAGCCUGCGCUC
rnacentral:rRNA from 1 species